rnacentral:rRNA from 1 species
UACGUAGGGUGCAAGCGUUGUCCGGAAUUAUUGGGCGUAAAGAGCUCGUAGGCGGUUUGUCGCGUCGAAUGUGAAAACCCGGGGCUCAACCCCGGGCCUGCAUUCGAUACGGGCAAACUAGAGUUCGGUAGGGGAGUCUGGAAUUCCUGGUGUAGCGGUGAAAUGCGCAGAUAUCAGGAGGAACACCGGUGGCGAAGGCGGGACUCUGGGCCGAUACUGACGCUGAGGAGCGAAAGCGUGGGGAGCAAACAGG